CCUGCAACAACUUUGCAUGAACGAAAAUAUGAUCCAAGAAUCUGGUGCGGUGUGGACUUCUUAAUCUGAUUGGAAACGACAGGGACGCCCUUCCUAACCAAACUUAGGCUCAUUUUAGCCCACCAGAGUCCUGAAUUUGGAGGCAAAGGCCGAAUCGGGGGUCCCCUAUAACCCAUCUCUGUGCAUGUAGCUGCGACAACACGGGGACAAGGUGGACAAGGCUGUCUUCUGAGCUCACCCACACAGUGAAUAUUAGUCAGAUCGCUGGCUUGCAAACUCCAAUUGCUGCACUCAAUUUUUAUUUGAUGGUACUUGUAACUUUAUAAGCAGUCCAAGUUCCUUACAGAAAAUUAGAAAAAGAUAAGAUAAGAAGAUGGUUUGGCGAUGUGGACACAUGAGGAUGAGCUUUAAUUUUCAAAAAAUGAGGAAAAUGAAAAGUGUGGGGUGACCUUUUUAAGUGUAAAGAACUAGAUAUGCAAACAGCUUUCGUUCUUUCAA